UGGGGAUAUUAAGCAGUCUUAUGAAAUUAAUUUAUAACUCCGUCGAAAAAAUAAAAAAAAGAUUUGGGACUACAAUGCCGAAGAAGAAGUGGAAAUAUCUGAUGACGAACUUUUAGAGGAUCCCCCAAGAUAAAAAAAGGAUGCUUCUGUCGCGUGGAAACAUUUCAAGAAAUGUAAAAACUCAAAUUAAGCAGUUUGCAACUGUACGGUCGGAAAAUAACUUGUGAUAUGUUUGGGUCAGCUCUCAUCUUAAAUUCUCACCUGUAAUAGCGCUAAAUUUCAGCGCAAACUUUGGAGUGACUUUCUUCAG